rnacentral:tRNA from 1 species
CACUUUCAAAGGAAAACAGCCCUCCACUAAUUUUAGGAAUUAGCACAUCU